UAUCGUACGGAACCCUAAAAAGUAGCAUUUUAGCUUAACUUAUUUCAUGGUACAGAAAUACGAUAGAUCCGGCGUCACAGGGUUACUAUUAGCAUUGAGCAUAGCGAUUAUUAAUUAUUCAUUAUUAUGAUAAAAAUUAUUUAUCGGCGUUCCAUGUUAUUAUUUUUCAAUAAGCCCGUAAACCCGCUUCUCGUCGGUCACCACUGCGACGGUUGGCACCAUGGCGAAUUAAAUUAAUUAAAUAAUUUUCAUGGUUGGCACUACCGACCGCGACAUCGCACCAUAGGGCAUAGAUUAUAGCUAUAUAUUAUGAUCGAACGGCGUCCUUUUCGACGCGGAUUGCCGGCAUCAGCUGUCGGGCGGCGGCGGCGGCCGGCUAGCCGGGACACCGGGCACAGAACAAAGGAACAAACGCCGUCCAAUACAUUUCCAUUUUCGAGGCGUUGGCUGUCGGGCGUCGGCCAUCUUUGCUCUUGUGACGUUUUACACAUCGUUGGCGUUUGCUUUCCGCUUUUUUCAACCAUGUCAUUCGGUUCGGACCAGGGUAGUUGUAUUACGACUACCCUGGUCUGGAAUAUGGAUUGCCGAACAUUUUAGAUCGUGCGUGGGGUCGAACGCCGUUGAGAAAGUCAAAAUCACUGGUCCUGUGCAUCAAUAUGGGCGGAAGAAAAAAAAUGGCAGCCAUACUAGCAGUAACACACUCAAAUCUCAAAACUCAAUAUCAAAAAUAAUUCGUUGUUUUCACCUUCUACUGUGGUCAUGGUAAUAUUAUAAUCCUAAACAAAUCCAUUUUCGUGUGCGUACUUCAGAAAUAUAAUUACCCCCGAUCCUGUAGCAUCCGUACUCCGAGAUCAACCUUUUUUAUAUACGUAUUCCAUGCAGCCCAGAUGUUCAAUUGCCAUAGCCUUGGCACGAGUGUUUCUAUCCGAUGGAAAAACUAGCUGUGGGAUAGAAGUUUGUGUGCCAAGGCUAGGGCAUUUGGACUGCUUGGGAUACGUGUGUAAAAACGUCUGGUCUUGUCGUUAAUAUUACAUCAAAGGUGCCACUAGUUCGGAACGAUUAGAUUAUCUGAAAUAUGUACACGGAGACAGGAGCCGUUAUUGAGAUAAAAUUAUUACCUGACUUUACCAAUCAAUAAAUAAUCAUGUUGUUUUCUCUUGCUUUAUAAAAAUAAAUUGCCAUAGUUUAAAGAUAUUACAGAUUAUAUAAAUAUAACAACAUUUUUU